AAAACUAUACUUUCUAUAGCAUCUAACUAGGAAAUGUGAUUUGUAAGUGUUAAGUCUCUCUAAUCACAAUGAUGAGUUUUGAUAUACUCUUCUGAGCAUGACUUGGAUUUUGGCUAAUGAUUAUUUCAUGGGCUUUAAUCAUUGAUGAAUGUUGUCUGUUUCUUGUGAAGCAUGUGAAGAAGAGUAUAUGAUCGGAGUGAU